rnacentral:rRNA from 1 species
AUGAAGGAAUUGUUCAAAAUGAGUGAUCUAGGCUUGUUAAGCUUUUACCUUGGGAUUGAGGUACAUCAAAGUAGAGAUGGGAUCACAUUGUGCCAAGAGGCAUAUGCCACAAAAAUUCUGGUGAAUUGUGGCAUGGAUGAUUGCAAUCCUUCACAUACGCCUAUGGAGGCUAAGCUCAAGUUGAGCAAACGGAGUGAGGCGCCGGCCGUUGAUCCAACAGAUUACAGAAGCAUUGUGGGGAGCCUAAGGUACUUGGUGAACACAAGGGCUGAUAUGGCCUACUCUGUUGGGAUCGUUAGUAGAUACAUGGAGCACCCUACUACUGAACAUCUAGCUGCGGUGAAGCAAAUUUUGAGGUAUGUUAAGGGCACUCCAAAAUAUGGCUGCAAGUACACAAGAAAGAAAGAGGCAAGACCACCAUUGGUGGGCUAUAGUGACAGUGAUAUGGCAGGAGACGUGGACGACAGGAAAAGUACUACUGGCGUUGCUUUUUUCUUAGGUGAAAAUUUGAUCUGUUGGCUGUCACAGAAGCAGAAGGUAGUGGCACUUUCUUCUUGCGAAGCGGAGUACAUUGCAGGAGCGGCUGCGGCGUGUCAGGGAGUUUGGCUCAGUAGAUUAUAUGCGGACUUGAUGGGAGAACAGCCGAAGCAAGUGAAGCUACAUAUUGACAAUAAAUCCACCAUAUCUUUGUGCAAGAAUCCUGUGCAUCAUGAUCGUAGCAAGCACAUUGAUGUGAAGUUCCACUACAUUCGUGAGUGUGUGGAAGAAGGGAGGAUGGAGGUCGAGCAUGUCAAUACAAACGAUCAACUCGCGGACAUUUUAACGAAGUCACUUGGGAAGGUGAAGUUUCAAGAGAUGUGUGAGAAGAUCGGAGUAAAGGCUGUCAAGUAG